rnacentral:RNase_MRP_RNA from 1 species
GAGUGCGGACCCAGGACCCCGCCCUCCACGAUCAGACGCUCUUGCGUCCAUGUACUGGGAGAAAGUCCCCGGGCGAUGAGGCAGAGAGUGCCAUCCCGAAAGGGCAGGACCCCCGAGACGAGGCGCCCCUGGGGGCCCCAUCGUCGAAGGGCAGCUCGCCGUAGACACAGUUAUGUGGCCGGCGCCGGGCCGUCCUCGUCAGAGGGCGUUUCGGCGCUAACACAACGGGGCUUACUCUUGCACU